CAGCAGCCGCGGUAAUACGUAGGGUGCGAGCGUUAAUCGGAAUUACUGGGCGUAAAGCGUGCGCAGGCGGCCGCGCAAGUCGAGUGUGAAAGCCCCGAGCUUAACUUGGGAAUUGCGCUCGAAACUACGUGGCUGGAGUGUGGCAGAGGAAGGUGGAAUUCCACGUGUAGCGGUGAAAUGCGUAGAGAUGUGGAGGAACACCGAUGGCGAAGGCAGCCCCCUGGGUUAACACUGACGCUCAUGCACGAAAGCGUGGGGAGCAAACAGGAUUAGAUACCCUGGUAGUCCACGCCCUAAACUAUGUCCACUGGUUGUCGGGGGAUUAACUCCCUUGGUAACGAAGCUAACGCGUGAAGUUGACCGCCUGGGGAGUACGGCCGCAAGGUUAAAACUCAAAGGAAUUGACGG
rnacentral:rRNA from 1 species